ACGGAAGGCAGCAGUGGGGAAUAUUGCACAAUGGGGGAAACCCUGAUGCAGCGACGCCGCGUGAAGGAAGAAGUAUCUCGGUAUGUAAACUUCUAUCAGCAGGGAAGAAAGUGACGGUACCUGACUAAGAAGCCCCGGCUAACUACGUGCCAGCAGCCGCGGUAAUACGUAGGGGGCAAGCGUUAUCCGGAUUUACUGGGUGUAAAGGGAGCGUAGACGGCAAGACAAGUCUGAAGUGAAAGGCAUGGGCUCAACCUGUGGACUGCUUUGGAAACUGCCUUGCUUGAGUGCCGGAGGGGUAAGCGGAAUUCCUAGUGUAGCGGUGAAAUGCGUAGAUAUUAGGAGGAACACCAGUGGCGAAGGCGGCUUACUGGACUGUAACUGACGUUGAGGCUCGAAAGCGUGGGGAGCAAACAGGAUUAGAUACCCUGGUA
rnacentral:rRNA from 1 species